rnacentral:lncRNA from 1 species
AUUUAUAUAAAUAUAGUACAACUUAUUUUAUCUUCUUUACAAUUUAUAACUCAGGUGGUACUCUUCCUUCUUCAUGUCCUUCGACUCAGUGCACUGCGAAGACAAACAAAACCUGUUGCUUGGUGACCGAAAAGGGUUGCAAGUGCGUUUGUGUAAUGGUCGUGACAAGUUGUUCGAUGGCAUGGAAAGAGACGUGUAAAUCACCCAGUGUGACGAAAUGCGACAAGGCAAACGGCGAGCGAAUGUGUCAGUGUGUGAAACAGCCACAAUCACAACAAGGAAAGCAUGUUCAAGGAACGCAAGGUGGACUUCAAGGGACGAACUUGGGCAAGUACCAUCAUCGUUCAGUGACCUCUAUCACAACGCUACGUU